CUUGGUUGAAUGUAUUUUGAUGAAUCUUUCCUUCAGAAUUAGGACUUUAAGGAAAUUCGUGGACAGUGGGAAGACAGAAGAUCUCAGUCAAACACCUACUUUCUAUCUUUGAAAUUCUAGCAACAGCUUAGUCCUGAAAAACAUAUCUUCCUGUGUAAUACUUGUAACAGUGGCUCUUCUCGAAUAUGUUUUAUUAAUCUUUCAAGAAAUGCCAUCAUCACAUUCCUGUCUUAAGAUGAGGAAAUGGAGCCAAAUGGAAAGCUGACUGUUAAGACCAGUUUGUCACUUUUGGGAAACACUUGGUGAGGAAUACCCCCCAUAUGCCAAGCCCUUGAGGCCUGCCCCUGGCUUGCACUGAAGAGGCUCUCCCAUGCUGGCGAUCUGCAGGCGCUCCAGGGGGAAUGUACGACACGAAAUGAUCAAUCAUGAAACCAUUUUACUGUCAUUAAAACCUCUUUGUGAGUGAUCACUGUUCUUUCUUCAUAUGAGAU